GCCGCCUGGGGAGUACGGUCGCAAGGCUAAAACUCAAAGGAAUUGACGGGGGCUCACACAAGCGGUGGAGCAUGUGGCUUAAUUCGAAGCAACGCGAAGAACCUUAUCCAGGGUUUGACAUCCCGGAUUAACCUAUUGAAAGAUAGGCUACGCCCUCUGGGUGGAACGGUGACAGGUGCUGCAUGGCUGUCGUCAGCUCGUGCUGUGAAGUGUCGGGUUAAGUCCCUUAACGAGCGCAACCCUUAUCGCUAGUUGCUAACAGGUAAUGCUGAGGACUCUAGUGAGACUGCCGGUGUCAAACCGGAGGAAGGUGGGGAUGACGUCAAGUCCUCAUGGCCUUUAUGCCCUGGGCUGCACACGUGCUACAAUGGUAGGUACAGAACGAUGCAAGACCGCGAGGUGGAGCAAAUCGCUAAAACCUGCCCCAGUUCGGAUUGCAGGCUGCAACUCGCCUGCAUGAAGUCGGAAUCGCUAGUAAUCGCGGAUCAGCUACGCCGCGGUGAAUACGUUCCUGAGCCUUGUACACACCGCCCGUCAAGUCAUGGGAGCUGGCAGCGCCCGAAGUCGCCCCGAUUCAGGGGUGCCCACGGCGAGGCUGGUGACUGGGACUAAGUCGUAACAAGGUAGCCGUAGGGGAACCUGCGGCUGGAUCACCUCCUUUCUAAGG
rnacentral:rRNA from 1 species